UACGUAGGGUCCGAGCGUUGUCCGGAAUUAUUGGGCGUAAAGGGCUCGUAGGCGGUCUGUCGCGUCGGGAGUGAAAACUUACAGCUUAACUGUGAGCGUGCUUCCGAUACGGGCAGACUUGAGGUAUUCAGGGGAGAACGGAAUUCCUGGUGUAGCGGUGAAAUGCGCAGAUAUCAGGAGGAACACCGAUGGCGAAGGCAGAUCUCUGGGCCGUCAACUGACGCUGAGGAGCGAAAGCAUGGGGAGCGAACAGG
rnacentral:rRNA from 1 species